rnacentral:rRNA from 1 species
AACGAACGCUGGCGGCAUGCCUAACACAUGCAAGUCGAACGAGACCUUCGGGUCUAGUGGCGCACGGGUGCGUAACGCGUGGGAACCUGCCCUUAGGUUCGGAAUAACUCCCCGAAAGGGGUGCUAAUACCGGAUAAUGUCUUCGGACCAAAGAUUUAUCGCCUUUGGAUGGGCCCGCGUUGGAUUAGCUAGUUGGUAAGGUAAAAGCCUACCAAGGCGACGAUCCAUAGCUGGUCUGAGAGGAUGAUCAGCCACACUGGGACUGAGACACGGCCCAGACUCCUACGGGAGGCAGCAGUGGGGAAUAUUGGACAAUGGGCGAAAGCCUGAUCCAGCAAUGCCGCGUGAGUGAUGAAGGCCUUAGGGUUGUAAAGCUCUUUUACCCGGGAUGAUAAUGACAGUACCGGGAGAAUAAGCGCCGGCUAACUCCGUG